AGGCAGUAGAGUAUGAUGAAGUAGAGUAUGAGAGAGUAGAGUAUGAAGUAGUAGAGUAUGAGAGAGUAGAGUAUGAAAGUAGAAUAUGAGGUAGUAGAGCAUGAGGCAUUAAAGUAUAAGUCAGUAGAGUAUGAUGUAGUAGAAGUUGAGGCAGUAGAGUAGAGUAUGAGAUAGUAGAGUAUGAGAGUAGAGUAUGAGAGUAGAGUAUGAGGUAUUAGAAGUUGAGCCAGUAGAGUAGAGUAUGAGAUAGUAGAGUAUGAGAGUAGAGUAUGAGAUAGUAGAGUAUGACGUAGUAGAGUAUGAGGAAGUAAAGUAAGAAAGCAGAAUAUGAGGUAGUAGAGUACGAGGCAGUAGAGUAUGAGGUAGUAGAGUAUGAGGCAGUAGAGUAUGAAAUAGUAGAGUAUGAGACAGUAGAGUAUGAGAUAGUAGAGUAUGACGUAGUAGAGUAUGAGGAAGUAAAGUAAGAAAGUAGAAUAUGAGGUAGUAGAGUAUGAGGCAGUAGAGUAUGAGCGGGUAGAGUGUGAGAGUAAAAUAUGAGGCAGUAUAGUAUGUGGAAGUAGAGCAUGAAAGUAGAGUAUGAGGCAGUAGAGUAUGAGAUAGUAG
rnacentral:lncRNA from 1 species